AUUACAUUGGGACGAAAAGAUUCGAAAACAAUGACCACCGAUACGAAUGAUUCGAAUUUUACGAUGAAUAAUCUGAUUCCAGGUGUAACAUCAUCUUCAUCAACUUCGACAUCAGCAUGGUUUAUUCAAUUAUUCAUCUAUAUAUUUCCAUCAUUCAUUGGUACAAUUGUAUCGACAUUAAUCGAUUCAGCAUUGAUUGAUUCAUACAUUGGUAUAUUAAGUGUAUCGGUAAUUGGAUUUAUUUUUACAAUGAUCAUGAAUAUUCAGCCACAAAAAUUGGCCAAUAAAACACGGCCAUUAAUUCAUAUUGAUGAUGGUUGGCCUAUGGAUGCAUCCACCGCCGUUAUGUUCAAACAAAAUCAGCCAAAACAAAAUCUUAAAUAUCCGAAUGUUAAAACCAUUCGACAAUAUCAAUCACAGAUAAUUAUCAUUAUUAUUGCUCGAAGCUUGAUAUCAUGUUCACUUCUCGGUAUGAUGGUCAAUUCAUUUCGAUUGAAAUCCAUCAAAUUUCAUGUUCAACCAGAUAAUGUGAUGGCCAUUUUUAUCAUGCUACUAGUAUGGUUCACAUUUACAACGGUACAUUAUUCAUUGAUUGUUGGAUCACCACCUGAAACGACAGCUUAUUCAAUAAAAUUUCGAUCAAUAGAUAGUUUUAAUCGUUCAAUCUAUAUGCUCACCUUAUUAUUGGCUAUGACAUUCGCAUCAGAAUCAAUAUAUUCAACAAUAACAUUGAUUAUCUGUUGUUUACCAUUAUUAUGGUUAUUGGGCAUAUUACCACCAAUUCCAGCAUUAGUAUUCUAUCUUCUUGAACAAAUAAAUAUCGUAUUGUUAGCCGGUACAGCCAGCUGUUAUAUAUGGUCAUUAUUUAUGACAAUCAUAUUCUCCAUAACUGCCAUUACAUUAAGUCAUUUUUAUCUUAACGGUCGACGAUUUCUUCUCACCAAUUUGUUUACCGGAUUUUUAGUAAGUAAUAAAUGGUUAUUUAAUAUGAAUCGAUUACAAUAUUGGCCAUAUCUGAUAAAAAUGAUUACAUCAAUCAAUGCUAUGAUUGCCAUCUAUUGGAUACAAAAUCGAUUCUUGUCGAUUAUUCGGAUACAACUUUUUGAAAUUCUUUUAACAUUAUUGAUCAUUGUUUAUUUGGCUAAAUAUUUCAAAAUGAUCUACGUGAUUAAUGUGAUUAAAAAUCCGCUCAAUAUGAUUAUGUCGACACGAUUCAUUAGUCGAAUACAUUCAAAUCGUACAUUCAUAAUGAUUAUACGAAUUCUUCUACAUUUAUUCAUACCGAUCAUUUGUUUGUUAUUGAUUGUACAGAAAUUAGAUAAUAAUAAUGAUCGUAUAAUGAAUAGAACGAUUACGAUAAAAAAUUUUCUUUUUGAUAUUCUUGUAUUUCGAAUGUUUCGCCAUUGUUGGCAAUAUCCAUAUCGUUUUGGCUUCCAAACUUUAUUCAUCGAAAUUUUGGAUUCAAUUCAUUAUCCAAUCAAUAGUCAUGAUAAUAUAAUUGCCAACAUUAAUGAAUGGCCAUUAGAAGCUAGAUAUUUUUGUUUGGAUCUAAUCAGAAUGAUUGUAAUUGAUUUUUGCCAUAAAUUCUAUAUGGUAAUGACCAUUCUUAUUACAUCUGUGAUGUUUCGUAAACAAAAAAUUCGUUAUAGUUGGACCAUUUUCGUUUUAAAUGUGAUAUUAUUACCUUUAAAUGUUAUCAUCAUAAUUAUAACCAGUAUGCUCAAUAUACCCAUAAUUCCAUUGUUUACAUUACCGAUUUUUCUGCCAUCAUUUCCACGGCCAAUGAAAUUCUGGUCAACAACACCAAUGAUGUUACCGAUGACAAUGGAUGAUACAAUGAAUGAUGCAGCAUAUUAUCGACAAUUGAUGCCACGUUUAAUUGAUUCAUUACAUCAACAAAGUCUUUUCUGGGAUUUUCGUCAUGCAGGUGAAAUUAUGAUAGCCAGAUUUGAUGAUCGUUUAAUGUGGUUUCAAGUACUAGAAUCAGGACAUAAUUAUUGCCAAAUACAAAUGAAAGGUCUUGAAUUACAGGAAACAUCUUGCCAUACAUUAGAAGCAUCGACAAUCGAUCAGAUCAAUGAAUAUUCAUUCCAUAAUAUUGGUGUGUGUUGUAAUUCAUUGUUCAAUAAAUAUUUCUUUUAUGCCAUCAAUCCAUUGACAAAAACAACAGUACAAACUUAUUCCGAUGCAACCAGUGUUCUAACAGGUAUCAUUGAGUCACCGGAUACUUAUGUUCGCAUUAAACGUCUAUUCUGUCCAGUAUUCAUAUGGCUUCUACUACAGCAUAAGAUUCGUUUGAUUCUUGUAGAACGUGAACAAAAACUUCAAAAUGAGAAUAAAAAUUCAAAUGUAAAUAUUCAAAUGGUUAAAGAAUCACAGAUCAAUAUAAUUGUACAAUCCGAUUCGGUAAUGGAUCAACGUUCAUCGUCUAAUAAUGAUGAUGAUAAUAAUGAUAAUGGUGAUGAACAACGAAAUCGUUCUAUUUCGUCAACAUCUACGAAUAAUACAGAUAACGAUGGUGAAUCGUCGCUGCAAUUUAGCUAUGAUGAUCUUCAACCAAAUAUACAAUGGACCAAUUUCAGUUAUCAAAUUUCACGAAGACGUAAAUCAAUUCAACAUCGUAUUAAUCGUUUUCUUUAUUCAAUUGAAUGGUUUUCGAAUGUUUUGAAAAUUUUAACUCACAACAAAGCCAUUCUAACGGAAAAUGAACUUGAAUCAUUAAUAUUGUCAUACAAUCAUAUAGCAAACAUUUGUUUUACCUUGGUAUUUCCAACGAACAAAAUUGCCGAAUCAUCAAUGUCACAAUGGAUAUAUGAAAUGUUUAAUAGUCAAACGAUGGCCAAAGAUUCAAUGAUUGAUGAAAAUCUUCUCGAUGUUGAUCUCAAUCAGAUUUGUUUGCAAACUAUUCGUUAUGCAACAAAAUUAGCAUUCGAUCAGAUGAUUUUCGCUGAAGAAACAUUAACUGAUGAUGAAAUAAUCAAUCAAUUAAAAGAAUUUGAUCAAAAUUGGUAUUUUGGUUCGAUUAAUUCUUCAGAAUGGAGAGAUGCAGUAUUGGCCGAGAAAUUACAAUUGUUUUCCAUUUCCAAAGAUGUUGUCAAGGAAAAUUAUCAAAGUCAUAUAUUAACAUUGAAAGAUAUGGACAUUUUUAUAUGUUCAAUUAAUCGUUCGAUUGUUGAUGCAAUUUGGUCAUCAUUAUCAUUCGAAUUGUUUUAUCUGACCAAUGAUGAUGAAGAACGUUAUUCGAUACAGGCACAUCAAAUAAUUUUCCGAAAUUUAACCGUACAAGCAGCUGAUCCACCACUUGGAUAUCCAGUUUUUGCUUCGGAACCAAUUCUGAUCUCACAUAUUAUCUGAAUGUAUUUGAGUGUCAACUAUUCUUGUUAUUUAUUGACAUUAAAUUUUGUACAUUUAAAACAAAUAUAAAUAAAAUGACAUGACAAAACAAAACAAAACAAAACAAAAAAAUUCAAAACCAAAAUCUCAAUUUUCAAUUUCGACAAAAAUUCUAUUUUUCUUUCCUGAAUGCUAAUAGAUGGCAUCUUCAGAUCAAUGAUUCGAAAAAAAAACAAUUUCAAGUUCCGAUAUUGUUCAUAGAUGGCGACAAAACAUUGUUUAAAUGAGCUCUGUGUUUUAAAAUUCAACAGGUCGUGUUUAUGCAAAAAAAAAAAAAAAAUAAUAAAUAAAUAAAUGUACGCGGAAUCUAUGUGAACAACAUCAAGAAGAAGAAGAAGAAAACGAAGCUAAAAGAUCGGAACAUUCAUUCUACAUGAACCGAAUGAACGAACGACCGAUGUAUAAUAAAUGGAGAAAAAAAAGUAUCUUAUCUAACCGGUUAUUGGCAUUUAUUUUUGGCUCCUCGCGAAAAUGCAAAAAAGAAAAUAAAACAUUGAUGAUAUCGAUGGAUUCGACAGACUCAACACUGCACUAUUGCUAAAAGAAAUGAAUAUAGAAAGUUAUGCUCGAAAUGAAAUACUAGUUUUAUUUUUUUUUUUUGUUGGUUCAUCACUAUCACCA